rnacentral:lncRNA from 1 species
AAUAAUGCCCGCAUGGACGAGGUCGCCACACGUCUGAUAUGCUCAUCUCGGUCGAUGCCAGAGUGGCAUUGACCUUCAUCGCCAGCGGUUGAACGUUGGCCUCGGACUGAAACCGGAGGCAUUCCAUUCGCAUGUCAAUCCCACCCCCGAAAUUGGUGCUCGCAAAGUGGUCGCAGGUGGGUUGUGGUCAGUCUUCGAUGCUUCUGGGCCCAAUUUGGCAAUUGCCGAGCUUGCACUGGAUCAGUGAUCCUCGACUGUGGACCCAUACUGGCAUGAUUCACCGACGACGGCGAUGGUUCUUCGCUUCUCGAGUUGAAGAGUGAACGGUGUGUGCUCCCAUUCUCAAGACCGACGAUGAGCCGUUUUGUCCGAUUGGAUGAAUGAACCAAGUCUUCUUCCUCAUUCAAUGUACGUUCAUCUGAUGCGAUUAUUGUGUUCCUCGUGUUGGUACUUCAAAACGUAAAUUUUAGUAUUUCUGCAUGCGUGUUUUAUAAUUAUCCGUUUUGGUACAGUUUAAAUUUCUUGACUUAUAAUUGAGUGGUUAUUUCAAAGGUGGUUUUUGAAUGGUAGAGCAUAUUGCAUGCAUCAGCUACAAAAACCUGGUUCGGGCAAUUUGAACUCCAAAAAUAAACUGAGGUAGAAGUACAAUUGCACAUUGCUUGUCCUUGAAUCAUUCUGAAGGUCAAUGUGGAUAAAUCAAGUAACACGCAAACAAUGUUUAGCUUGAUAUUUGAAUGAUUUUAAUCAUCAGAUUUGCAUGUGGGCUAAAAAUCUCGCAGCUAUUUUCAUCAGUGCUAUAAAUGAUUGUUAUAUAUAUAUAUAUAUAUAUAUAUAUUUUUUAAUCAACUGAUAAUGGUUUACACUCAGUUUU